rnacentral:tRNA from 1 species
UCUAAUAUGGCAGAAUAGUGCGAUAGAUUUAAGCUCUAUAAAUAAAGGCCUCAACUUUUAUUAGAA